rnacentral:tRNA from 1 species
AUUUAUAUAAUAUAUAAAGUAUAUUUGAUUUCCAAUCAAAAAGAUUAAUUUUUAAUAUAAAUA